GUUACGUGCCAUGCCACCCUGAACGUGCUCGAUCUCGUCUGAUCUCGGAAGCUAAGCAGGGUCAGGCCUGGUUAGUACUUGGAUGAGAGACCACCUAGGAAGACCAGGUGCUGUCGGCA
rnacentral:rRNA from 1 species